rnacentral:lncRNA from 1 species
AGAGGCAUUCGAGGCAGUGGAGUAGGAGAAAGAGCUAGAAGAAACAGAAGAAUGACCUCAAGAAAAGGCAAAAGAAAUGGAAGAAGAGGUGAGUAUUGUUUUCUGGCUAUGUCAGCUUUUCUUUUGUUUCUUCGUCUCCUCUGUUCUGACUUCUUUUUAUCUAUAGGAGGAAAUCCCCGCUGAAGUGAUUGCAGAGAGCAUUGCUUUGGCCAGAGGCAGCAGGAGAAUCCAGAGGCAUAGCUGACUAGCUCGGAGUUGGCCCUUUUUGAAGUCGUAGAGGAAGAACACUCCACUGCCGUUCUAGCAGCUGAGGGGUAGGCAGGGCAGUCUGUAUCAGAGCCUGUGGAGCAGGCAGAACUACCUGUUGCAGUCCCAGCACCUGGAGUGGAAGUGGCUGCUGCUGUUCCUGAAGUUGUG